rnacentral:rRNA from 1 species
GUGGCGAACGGGUGAGUAAUGUAUCGGAACGUACCUUUCAGUGGGGGAUAACGUAGCGAAAGUUACGCUAAUACCGCAUAUUCUGUGAGCAGGAAAGCAGGGGAUCGCAAGACCUUGCGCUGAUUGAGCGGCCGAUAUCAGAUUAGCUAGUUGGUGAGGUAAAGGCUCACCAAGGCGACGAUCUGUAGCGGGUCUGAGAGGAUGAUCCGCCACACUGGAACUGAGACACGGUCCAGACUCCUACGGGAGGCAGCAGUGGGGAAUUUUGGACAAUGGGGGCAACCCUGAUCCAGCCAUGCCGCGUGAGUGAAGAAGGCCUUCGGGUUGUAAAGCUCUUUCGGCCGGGAAGAAAUCGCAUGGGUUAAUACCCUGUGCGGAUGACGGUACCGGCAUAAGAAGCACCGGCUAACUACGUGCCAGCAGCCGCGGUAAUACGUAGGGUGCGAGCGUUAAUCGGAAUUACUGGGCGUAAAGCGUGCGCAGGCGGUUUUUUAAGACAGGCGUGAAAUCCCCGGGCUCAACCUGGGAACUGCGCUUGUGACUGGAAGGCUAGAGUAUGGCAGAGGGGGGGGAAUUCCACGUGUAGCAGUGAAAUGCGUAGAGAUGUGGAGGAACACCAAUGGCGAAGGCAGCCCCCUGGGCCAAUACUGACGCUCAUGCACGAAAGCGUGGGUAGCAAACAGGAUUAGAUACCCUGGUAGUCCACGCCCUAAACGAUGUCAACUAGGUGUUGGGUGGGUAAAACCAUUUAGUACCGGAGCUAACGCGUGAAGUUGACCGCCUGGGGAGUACGGCCGCAAGGUUAAAACUCAAAGGAAUUGACGGGGACCCGCACAAGCGGUGGAUGAUGUGGAUUAAUUCGAUGCAACGCGAAAAACCUUACCUACCCUUGACAUGUCCAGGAGCCUGAAGAGAUUUGGGUGUGCCCGAAAGGGAACUGGAACACAGGUGCUGCAUGGCUGUCGUCAGCUCGUGUCGUGAGAUGUUGGGUUAAGUCCCGCAACGAGCGCAACCCUUGUCGUUAAUUGCCAUCAUUCAGUUGGGCACUUUAACGAGACUGCCGGUGACAAACCGGAGGAAGGUGGGGAUGACGUCAAGUCCUCAUGGCCCUUAUGGGUAGGGCUUCGCACGUCAUACAAUGGUCGGUACAAAGGGUUGCCAAGCCGCGAGGUGGAGCCAAUCCCAGAAAGCCGAUCGUAGUCCGGAUCGCAGGCUGCAACUCGCCUGCGUGAAGUCGGAAUCGCUAGUAAUCGUGGAUCAGCAUGUCACGGUGAAUACGUUCCCGGGUCUUGUACACACCGCCCGUCACACCAUGGGAGCGGGUUCCGCCAGAAGUAGGUAGCCUAACCGCAAGGAGGGCGCUUACCACGGCGGGGUUCGUGACUGGGGUGGAGUCGGAACAAGGUA